rnacentral:rRNA from 1 species
AUGGCUCAGGACGACGCUGGCGCGUGCUUAACACAUGCAAGUCGAACGGUGACCCAGGGCUUGCCCUGGUGAUCAGUGGCGAACGGGUGAGUAACACGUGGGCAACCUGCCCCUGACUUCGGGAUAACUCCUCGAAAGAGGAGCUAAUACCGGAUACGACCACUUCGGACAUCCGAUGGUGGUGGAAAGUUUUUCGGUCAGGGAUGGGCCCGCGGCCUAUCAGCUAGUUGGUGGGGUAAUGGCCUACCAAGGCGACGACGGGUAGCCGGCCUGAGAGGGCGACCGGCCACACUGGGACUGAGACACUGCCCAGACUCCUACGGGAGGCAGCAGUGGGGAAUAUUGCGCAAUGGGCGAAAGCCUGACGCAGCGACGCCGCGUGAGGGAUGAAGGCCUUCGGGUUGUAAACCUCUUUCAGCAGGGACGAAGCGAAAGUGACGGUACCUGCAGAAGAAGCACCGGCUAACUACGUG